rnacentral:rRNA from 1 species
UACGUAGGUGGCGAGCGUUGUCCGGAUUUACUGGGUGUAAAGGGAGCGUAGGCGGACUUUUAAGUGAGAUGUGAAAUACCCGAGCUCAACUUGGGUGCUGCAUUUCAAACUGGAAGUCUAGAGUGCAGGAGAGGAGAAUGGAAUUCCUAGUGUAGCGGUGAAAUGCGUAGAGAUUAGGAAGAACACCAGUGGCGAAGGCGAUUCUCUGGACUGUAACUGACGCUGAGGCUCGAAAGCGUGGGGAGCAAACAGGAUUAGAUA